CACGAACGAUGGCGGCAGGCUUAACACAUGCAAGUCGAGCGCCCCGCAAGGGGAGCGGCAGACGGGAGAGUAACGCGUGGGAACGUACCCUUAGCUACGGAAUAGCUCCGGGAAACUGGAAUUAAUACCGUAUGUGCCCUACGGGGGAAAGAUUUAUCGGCAAAGGAUCGGCCCGCGUUGGAUUAGCUAGUUGGUGGGGUAAUGGCCUACCAAGGCGACGAUCCAUAGCUGGUCUGAGAGGAUGAUCAGCCACAUUGGGACUGAGACACGGCCCAAACUCCUACGGGAGGCAGCAGUGGGGAAUAUUGGACAAUGGGCGCAAGCCUGAUCCAGCCAUGCCGCGUGAGUGAUGAAGGCCUUAGGGUUGUAAAGCUCUUUCACCGGAGAAGAUAAUGACGGUAUCCGGAGAAGAAGCCCCGGCUAACUUCGUGCCAGCAGCCGCCGUAACAC
rnacentral:rRNA from 1 species